rnacentral:rRNA from 1 species
AGCGAACGCUGGCGGCAGGCCUAACACAUGCAAGUCGAACGAAGUCUUCGGACUUAGUGGCGGACGGGUGAGUAACACGUGGGAACGUGCCUUUAGGUUCGGAAUAACUCAGGGAAACUUGUGCUAAUACCGAAUGUGCCCUUCGGGGGAAAGAUUUAUCGCCUUUAGAGCGGCCCGCGUCUGAUUAGCUAGUUGGUGAGGUAAAGGCUCACCAAGGCUACGAUCAGUAGCUGGUCUGAGAGGAUGACCAGCCACAUUGGGACUGAGACACGGCCCAAACUCCGACGGUGUGCAGCAGUGGGGAAUCUUGCGCAAUGGGCGAAAGCCUGACGCAGCCAUGCCGCGUGAAUGAUGAAGGUCUUAGGAUUGUAAAAUUCUUUCACCGGGGACGAUAAUGACGGUACCCGGAGAAGAAGCCCCGGCUAACUUCGUGCCAGCCGCCGCUGUAACAC